rnacentral:rRNA from 1 species
CCCCUGAAUUUAAGCAUA